rnacentral:rRNA from 1 species
CCUACGGGAGGCAGCAGUGGGGAAUAUUGCACAAUGGGGGAAACCCUGAUGCAGCGACGCCGCGUGAGUGAAGAAGUAUUUCGGUAUGUUAAGCUCUAUCAGCAGGGGAGCAAAUGACGGUACCUGAUUACGGAGCCCCGGCUAACUACGUGCCAGCAGCCGCGGUACUACGUGGGGGGCACGCGUUAUCCGGAUUUACUGGGUGUAAAGGGAGCGUAGGCGGCAGUACAAGUCUGGAGUGAAAUGCCGGGGCUUAAACCCGGAACUGCUUUUGAAACUGGGCAGCUAGAGUGUAGGAGAGGUAAGUGGAAUGCGUAGUGUAGCGGUGAAAUGCGUAGAUAUUAGGCGGAACACCAGUGGCGAAGGCGGCUUACUGGACUGUAACUGACGCUGAGGCGCGAAAGCGUGGGUAUCGAACAGGAUUAGAUACCCUUGUAGUC